rnacentral:rRNA from 1 species
GACUACUGGGGUAUCUAAGCCUGUUUGCUCCCCACGCUUUCGUGCAUGAGCGUCAGUGUCGACCCAGGGGGCUGCCUUCGCCAUCGGUGUUCCUCCACAUCUCUACGCAUUUCACUGCUACACGUGGAAUUCCACCCCCCUCUGCCGCACUCAAGCACCACAGUCACAAACGCAGUUCCCAGGUUAAGCCCGGGGAUUUCACAUCUGUCUUAUGGCGCCGCCUGCGCACGCUUUACGCCCAGUAAUUCCGAUUAACGCUCGCACCCUACGUAUUACCGCGGCUGCUGGCACGUAGUUAGCCGGUGCUUCUUCUUCCGGUACCGUCAUCCAUGCAGGGUAUUGGCCCGCACGAUUUCUUCCCGGCCGAAAGAGCUUUACAACCCGAAGGCCUUCUUCACUCACGCGGCAUGGCUGGAUCAGGGUUGCCCCCAUUGUCCAAAAUUCCCCACUGCAGCCUCCCGUAGG